rnacentral:rRNA from 1 species
AGUGAACGCUGGCGGUAGGCCUAACACAUGCAAGUCGAACGGCAGCACAGUAAGAGCUUGCUCUUACGGGUGGCGAGUGGCGGACGGGUGAGGAAUACAUCGGAAUCUACUUUUUCGUGGGGGAUAACGUAGGGAAACUUACGCUAAUACCGCAUACGACCUACGGGUGAAAGCAGGGGAUCUUCGGACCUUGCGCGAUUGAAUGAGCCGAUGUCGGAUUAGCUAGUUGGCGGGGUAAAGGCCCACCAAGGCGACGAUCCGUAGCUGGUCUGAGAGGAUGAACAGCCACACUGGAACUUGGAAACGGUCCAGACUCCUACGGGAGGCAGCAGUGGGGAAUAUUGGACAAUGGGCGCAAGCCUGAUCCAGCCAUACCGCGUGGGUGAAGAAGGCCUUCGGGUUGUAAAGCCCUUUUGUUGGGAAAGAAAAGCAGCAGGUUAAUACCCCGCUGUUCUGACGGUACCCAAAGAAUAAGCACCGGCUAACUUCGUG